rnacentral:rRNA from 1 species
UACGUAGGGCGCAAGCGUUGUCCGGAAUUAUUGGGCGUAAAGAGCUCGUAGGCGGCUUGUCACGUCGGAUGUGAAAGCCCUCGGCUUAACUGAGGAAGUGCACCCGAAACUGAGUAGCUAGAGUACGAAAGAGGGUCGCGGAAUUCCCGGUGUAGAGGUGAAAUUCGUAGAUAUCGGGAGGAACACCGGUGGCGAAGGCGGCGACCUGGGUCGAGACUGACGCUGAGGCGCGAAAGCGUGGGGAGCAAACAGG